rnacentral:lncRNA from 1 species
GUGUGGAACUUGGGAUUCGAACGGCAGGCGGGAAGUGCUCUAGCAGGGGAGUCUGACCUUGUGAGGGAAUACCUGUGUCCCCCCUUUUUUCCCCUUUUUACCCAAUAAAACCCUGCCUUACUCACCCUUUAAAUCAUCUGCGAGCCUGAAUUUUCAUGGCCGUGGGACGGACAAGAACUUUAUCUUCAGCUGAACUAAGAAAAAGUCCUGCAACAUUUUUGGCGCGCAAUGUGGGGGCACCAGAAGCGGGCACCGUUGAGCUGUUGCAACUGUUCUGCUGGUAAGUGCUUUUAUGUGCUUGAGAGAAGUGGAGUGGAAACUAAUUUUUCUGUGACCCAUAAUUUUAUAAUUUGUAUUUUUAAGAAAUAAUCCAUUUUCAAAGUCACUCUCCCUUAAGUCUUCAUCUUUUGUUCUAACUUACUUCCUGUAUUAGAUUUGUCUUAAAAUUAAAUGAAAAGUAGAAGAGAAAAAAUAGUAAAAUCUCAGAAAUAAACAUAGAGCUUUUUAAAAUAUUAGAGCUGGGGACAAACUUGUUUGAUACCUGGAGACAUAAUCUUAGGUUGAGUGGCUUGUUUAACAUAACAUGGUUGUCUGCUAAUGGUUACAACAGAAUUCAAAAUUCCUAAUUGUUCAGUGUAUUAUCUAGUAACUGAUAGUGGCUAAUUCCUGCCAUGAAGUAAAUAGAAAAUAUAAAUAUAUCUUAGGUACUAGAAAAACAAACUCUAUUGAGGAUGGUUUUAUAUUUGCACGUUAUUAUGUUAUGGAAUACAAUUAUACAAAAAAUGUAUAUUAUAUAAUUUCAUACAAUUUUAUAAUAGCAUUUAAUGUUAAAUGUGCUUUCAUAUACAUUCUCUUUUGCAUCUUUUUCCCAUGAAAUUUAUCUUUUUAUUAUUCCCAGAUUAAGCCUCAUAAAUAUAAAAUGGUUAAUAAGUGAUGAAUCUGAGAUUUAACUUUAGUUUUUAGUUUUUUUCUCUAGGAAUCAUGCCCAAAGACCCAGAUUUCACCAGUUUUCUGGUGGAACAAAGUCUGUUAACUUUUAUUCAUGUCCUUGAAUGGCCUAUGUCCACAUUCUUUCUCCUCAGGAGGUAGAGAUUAGUUCUCUGCAGACUCCACAGCUAGACUGUGCAUCUAGAAUUAUUUAAAUGAAUGUGUGAGGUGGCAUCAACCCUUGACUUCAUUCCAAACUGUAGCUGACCUUCACUUAUAUUGACCUUAUUCUAAAUUGGUCUAUUUUUUUAAGUGAAUUUAAUGCUAUCUGUUAAAUUUAUACAAAUAGUUGGCUAGGUUUUUUGUUUUUUGCUUGUAAGAACCCAAAGAAGUAAACCAACAGGAAAAA